UGUUGGGGUUGUAGGACACUCUAUACGGAGUUACAAAGGACGACAUUAGACGAAUCAUCUGGAAAGAUGAAUCAAAGAAGGUAAUAAUCCUGUAGUCGAAAAUGUUGUCUCUCUUGAGUGGAUCCUGAGUACGACGGAGCACGUGAAAUUCCGUCGGAAUCUGGGAGGACCAUCUCCUAAGGCUAAAUACUCUCUAGUGACCGAUAGUGAACCAGUACCGUGAGGGAAAGGUGAAAAGCACCCCGGAAGGGGAGUGAAAUAGAACCUGAAACCGUGUGCUUACAAGUAGUCAGAGCCCGUUAAUGGGUGAUGGCGUGCCUUUUGUAGAAUGAACCGGCGAGUUACGAUUUGAUGCAAGGUUAAGCAGUAAAUGUGGAGCCGUAGCGAAAGCGAGUCUGAAUAGGGCGUUUAGUAUUUGGUCGUAGACCCGAAACCAGGUGAUCUACCCUUGGUCAGGUUGAAGUUCAGGUAACACUGAAUGGAGGACCGAACCGACUUACGUUGAAAAGUGAGCGGAUGAACUGAGGGUAGCGGAGAAAUUCCAAUCGAACCUGGAGAUAGCUGGUUCUCUCCGAAAUAGCUUUAGGGCUAGCCUCAAGUGAUGAUUAUUGGAGGUAGAGCACUGUUUGGACGAGGGGCCCCUCUCGGGUUACCGAAUUCAGACAAACUCCGAAUGCCAAUUAAUUUAACUUGGGAGUCAGAACAUGGGUGAUAAGGUCCGUGUUCGAAAGGGAAACAGCCCAGACCACCAGCUAAGGUCCCAAAAUAUAUGUUAAGUGGAAAAGGAUGUGGCGUUGCCCAGACAACUAGGAUGUUGGCUUAGAAGCAGCCAUCAUUUAAAGAGUGCGUAAUAGCUCACUAGUCGAGUGACACUGCGCCGAAAAUGUACCGGGGCUAAACAUAUUACCGAAGCUGUGGAUUGUCCUUUGGACAAUGGUAGGAGAGCGUUCUAAGGGCGUUGAAGCAUGAUCGUAAGGACAUGUGGAGCGCUUAGAAGUGAGAAUGCCGGUGUGAGUAGCGAAAGACGGGUGAGAAUCCCGUCCACCGAUUGACUAAGGUUUCCAGAGGAAGGCUCGUCCGCUCUGGGUUAGUCGGGUCCUAAGCUGAGGCCGACAGGCGUAGGCGAUGGAUAACAGGUUGAUAUUCCUGUACCACCUAUAAUCGUUUUAAUCGAUGGGGGGACGCAGUAGGAUAGGCGAAGCGUGCGAUUGGAUUGCACGUCUAAGCAGUAAGGCUGAGUAUUAGGCAAAUCCGGUACUCGUUAAGGCUGAGCUGUGAUGGGGAGAAGACAUUGUGUCUUCGAGUCGUUGAUUUCACACUGCCGAGAAAAGCCUCUAGAUAGAAAAUAGGUGCCCGUACCGCAAACCGACACAGGUAGUCAAGAUGAGAAUUCUAAGGUGAGCGAGCGAACUCUCGUUAAGGAACUCGGCAAAAUGACCCCGUAACUUCGGGAGAAGGGGUGCUCUUUAGGGUUAACGCCCAGAAGAGCCGCAGUGAAUAGGCCCAAGCGACUGUUUAUCAAAAACACAGGUCUCUGCUAAACCGUAAGGUGAUGUAUAGGGGCUGACGCCUGCCCGGUGCUGGAAGGUUAAGAGGAGUGGUUAGCUUCUGCGAAGCUACGAAUCGAAGCCCCAGUAAACGGCGGCCGUAACUAUAACGGUCCUAAGGUAGCGAAAUUCCUUGUCGGGUAAGUUCCGACCCGCACGAAAGGCGUAACGAUUUGGGCACUGUCUCAACGAGAGACUCGGUGAAAUCAUAGUACCUGUGAAGAUGCAGGUUACCCGCGACAGGACGGAAAGACCCCGUGGAGCUUUACUGUAGCCUGAUAUUGAAAUUCGGCACAGCUUGUACAGGAUAGGUAGGAGCCUUUGAAACGUGAGCGCUAGCUUACGUGGAGGCGCUGGUGGGAUACUACCCUAGCUGUGUUGGCUUUCUAACCCGCACCACUUAUCGUGGUGGGAGACAGUGUCAGGCGGGCAGUUUGACUGGGGCGGUCGCCUCCUAAAAGGUAACGGAGGCGCUCAAAGGUUCCCUCAGAAUGGUUGGAAAUCAUUCAUAGAGUGUAAAGGCAUAAGGGAGCUUGACUGCGAGACCUACAAGUCGAGCAGGGUCGAAAGACGGACUUAGUGAUCCGGUGGUUCCGCAUGGAAGGGCCAUCGCUCAACGGAUAAAAGCUACCCCGGGGAUAACAGGCUUAUCUCCCCCAAGAGUUCACAUCGACGGGGAGGUUUGGCACCUCGAUGUCGGCUCAUCGCAUCCUGGGGCUGUAGUCGGUCCCAAGGGUUGGGCUGUUCGCCCAUUAAAGCGGUACGCGAGCUGGGUUCAGAACGUCGUGAGACAGUUCGGUCCCUAUCCGUCGUGGGCGUAGGAAAUUUGAGAGGAGCUGUCCUUAGUACGAGAGGACCGGGAUGGACAUACCUCUGGUGUACCAGUUGUCGUGCCAACGGCAUAGCUGGGUAGCUAUGUGUGGACGGGAUAAGUGCUGAAAGCAUCUAAGCAUGAAGCCCCCCUCAAGAUGAGAUUUCCCAACUUCGGUUAU
rnacentral:rRNA from 1 species